rnacentral:rRNA from 1 species
UACGUAGGUGGCAAGCGUUGUCCGGAUUUACUGGGCGUAAAGAGCGCGCAGGCGGUCGUUCAAGUCGCGUGUGAAAGCCCCCGGCUCAACUGGGGAGGGUCACGCGAUACUGAUCGACUCGAAGGCAGGAGAGGGUAGUGGAAUUCCCGGUGUAGUGGUGAAAUGCGUAGAUAUCGGGAGGAACACCAGUGGCGAAGGCGACUACCUGGACAACACCUGACACUGAGGCACGAAAGCUAGGGGAGCAAACAGG